CCAAUAGCGUAUAUUAAAGUUGUUGCAGUUAAAAAGCUCGUAGUUGAAUUUCGGGGUUUAUCCGUCGGUCGGGCUUUUGGGUCUGUACUGGCGUGAUGGAUUCCUACCUUCUGAAUAACCGGCAUGUCAUUAAUUUGGUGCGCCGGGGAAGCAGGACUGUUACCUUGAAAAAAUUAGAGUGCUUAAAGCAGGCUUAUGCCUGAAUACAUUAGCAUGGAAUAAUGAAAUAGGACGGCAUGGUUCUAUUUUGUUGGUUUCUAGGAUCACCGUAAUGAUUAAUAGGGAUAGUUGGGGGCAUUAGUAUUCAAUUGUCAGAGGUGAAAUUCUUGGAUUUAUUGAAGACUAACUUCUGCGAAAGCAUUUGCCAAGGAUGUUUUCAUUAAUCAAGAACGAAAGUUAGGGGAUCGAAGACGAUCAGAUACCGUCGUAGUCUUAACCAUAAACUAUGCCGACUAGGGAUCGGACGAUGUUAAUUUUUUAAUGACUCGUUCGGCGCCUUACG
rnacentral:rRNA from 1 species